CAGUAGCCGCGGUAAUACAGAGGGUGCGAGCGUUAAUCGGAUUUACUGGGCGUAAAGCGUGCGUAGGCGGCUUCUUAAGUCGGAUGUGAAAUCCCUAAGCUUAACUUAGGAAUUGCAUUCGAUACUGGGAAGCUAGAGUAUGGGAGAGGAUGGUAGAAUUCCAGGUGUAGCGGUGAAAUGCGUAGAGAUCUGGAGGAAUACCGAUGGCGAAGGCAGCCAUCUGGCCUAAUACUGACGCUGAGGUACGAAAGCAUGGGGAGCAAACAGGAUUAGAUACCCCCGUAGUCCCUGUCUCUUAUAC
rnacentral:rRNA from 1 species